rnacentral:lncRNA from 1 species
AUGACCGUUGACCGACAAGGGCAUUUUGGUAAUUUCACACUAUGAGGGCAAUUUUGUAAUUUCUGAGCCUGUGGAUAUUUUAGUAAUUCCUAGAAUUGAGGAUUGGGGGUAAUUACGAUUCUGAGGGUAAUUCAGUGAUUUAAGAUUUCAGAGCAUGUUAAUGAUCUACAGACUCAAGGGCAUUUUAGUAAUUUUAUGGACACGGGAGUUGUAAAUUAGGGAUAGAUGUUCGUUUCGAGUUUAUUGCAUAAAAUUUAGUCAUAAUUCCGAUUUACGAAAAAUAAUUAUGUCGUUUCCUUGAUUUAGGAGGAUCCGCGAGCGAGAAUCGGUCCGCAGACGUGGACGAUAACCGACCGUGAACACCGUCACUGUGAGUGGAAUAUACAAAACCUAUUUUCAUAGUUAAUUAUGAUGGUAAUGCAUGUUUGUGAAAUACGUAUUUUAAAUGUUCUGAUUUAAUGAUUUCCUCGAAAUGGAUUUUAUUUACGCAUUGGUAUUUUAUUAAAAUGUUUGGUUAUUGAUUUUACGUAUCGACUUUGAAUAAAGCAUGAUAAUAUUUUAAAGAUAAGAAAAGUGGAUUCAAAUGUGGUAUGAUUUAAAAUAUGGUUAAGAGGUAUGUGAAUAUGAGUAUAAUGAUUGUUUUUGAAAUCAUUAGACAGUAACCUUCCCUCCAGAUACAUGUGAUACAAAUGAGAUGAGAGGCUUUUGGGGCCCGUCUGAACACACAUAGAGGCUUUGGGCCGUGUGUUUGGGCGCUUUUGCCUUUUGGGGGCAUAUGCAUGCGGUAUGAUGAUUACAGAGAUACAGAUAU